UUUUGGACAAUGGGCGCAAGCCUGAUCCAGCAAUGCCGCGUGCAGGAUGAAGGCCUUCGGGUUGUAAACUGCUUUUGUACGGAGCGAAAAGGUUUCCACUAAUACUGGGGGCUCAUGACGGUACCGUAAGAAUAAGCACCGGCUAACUACGUGCCAGCAGCCGCGGUAAUACGUAGGGUGCAAGCGUUAAUCGGAAUUACUGGGCGUAAAGCGUGCGCAGGCGGUUAUGUAAGACAGAUGUGAAAUCCCCGGGCUUAACCUGGGAACUGCAUUUGUGACUGCAUAGCUAGAGUACGGUAGAGGGGGAUGGAAUUCCGCGUGUAGCGGUGAAAUGCGUAGAUAUGCGGAGGAACACCGAUGGCGAAGGCAAUCCCCGGACCUGUACUGACGCUCAUGCACGAGG
rnacentral:rRNA from 1 species